rnacentral:rRNA from 1 species
GAUGAACGCUGGCGGCGUGCCUAAUACAUGCGAGUCGAGCGAACAGACGAGGAUCUUGCUCCUCUGACGUUAGCGGCGGACGGGUGAGUAACACGUGGAUAACCUACCUAUAAUACUGGGAUAACUUCGGGAAACCGGAGCUAAUACCGGAUAAUAUAUUGUACCGCAUGGUUCAAUAGUGAAAGACGGUUUUGCUGUCACUUAUAGAUGGUUCCACGCCGCAUUAGCUAGUUGGUAAUGUAACGGCUUACCAAGGCGACGAUGCGUAGCCGACCUGAGAGGGUGAUCAGGCAUGCUGGAACGGAGACACGGUGCAGACUCCAACGGGAGGAAGCAGUAGGGAAUAGUCCGCAAUGGGCGAAAACCUGACGGAGGAACGGCGCGUGAGUGAUGAAGGACUUCGGAUCGUAAAACUCUGUUAUGAGGGAAGAACAAAAGUGUAAGAAAAAAUGCACGGCUUGACGGUACCUAAUGAGAAAGCCACGGCUAACUACGUG